CAAUAUGAAUUUUUAGUGGCAAAUUUGCAGUGGGAAAAUAAUAUUUGCCACUAAUUCAUAUAAAUUUGGAAACUUUUGUGGCAAGAUCAAAAUAUGCCACUAUACUCCAAACAAUGGUGGCAUAAAUAAAAGAAUGCCACUGUUCUCUUUUUAUUAGUGGCAAAUUUGACCUUUUGCCAUUAAAAAACUAAAAAUAGUGGUACUAAAAUAUUUGUAGAGAGCGGGAAUGAAAAGUGAAGGGCGGGAGUGAAAAGUUAAAGCAGUUGUUAGGGUUUCUGAUUGGUAAUGAAAGCUUCUCUUCUCCAUCUGCAAAAUUGACGAGCUUCUCUUCUCCAUCUGCAAACGGGCUUCACUUCUCCAUCUGCAAAAUUGACGAGCUUCUCUUCUCCAUCUGCAAACGGGCUUCUCUUCUCCAUCUCCAAAAUAAAAACUUGACCCCUAAUUUUCUUUAAAAGGGUAAGAGUCGAAUUAUUUCACUGUAGCCUUCCAUUAUGUUUUUCCAUGAAAUUAGUGAUUAUUCAAUACCAUUUGUUUCCAGGUGAGAAGUUGGUGUCCUUGUUUAUAGUAUGCACUACAAAAAUAUGAUCUUGUAUUUGAAACUCUUCACAUUGAUGUUAUGUUUAUUCAAUUAGUAUAGAGUUUAGUCAUAUGUUACUGUUAGUUGAUUGAUUCUCUGUUUUUGUAAGGUUGUUUUGGUAUGGUUUCUAAUAUUAGUUGUUGAUCAAUUCAAGUUUAAUCAAAUCUUAGUUGAUCAAUCAUUUUCCACCACAGAUGAUGCUUCUCAUUAUGACAAUUCCCUUAUGUCUCCUGGUUGUACUCAUUCUUAUAGUCUGGUUAAUCUUUUCUUAAUUUGAUUUUGCAUAGCUAAUUUUAUUAUUUAUGCAAUUUUUAGUUACUGUUUCAUUUUGACGUUUAUUCAGCAAGGAAUUAUGUUAGGAUUCCAUACCGCUGCUUGGUUUGUAAUUGUUAUGAUUUGACGGCUCGGGUUGUUGCUAAAACAGGUCCAGUUUCUCUGCUUGCAUUUGAAUCAACUUUCAUUCUACACGUGUGCAUAGUAAACUUUAUUGUCUGUAGGCUCACAAUGUGGGUUAAAGAAACAAUAGUAUCAAAUUAAGAAUGUCCACUAUAGAUACAUUUGUGCAGCAUAUCUUAACAGGUAUGUUAUAACUCAGCAUUUGCAACUAAUGAUUUCAUUCUGCUUAUUAGAUGGUAAAAGUUGGGAGUCAUUUGAAAACCAUGUUAUCUUAUCUCCAUGUAGUCUGCCGGCAAGUUAACAUCAGAGUAACUGUUGGCCUUUUUUGUUAGUUAAUUUUCCUAGUGUGCUUAUAAUUACUAUUGCUAGGCCUAGAUAAAAGAUUUCAAAAUUUUCUUUUGGUACAAUACAAUUUUUUCCCUUAGAUAGUAUUGCAUAAGGAAAUAUGUUUUUUUAAUAAUGUUGUUUGAAUAAAUUAAGUGUUGUUAUUAUUCAAUGUCAAAUGCAAGAUGAUACUUAUUAAAUGAGACAUCAAGCACAUCAAACUAAUGGGUUUAUAUUUUUUCAUAAUCUUCAGAACUUGCUUAUUUGAUUAUUUUAAUUUGAUAAUUACAUUAUAUGUUUAGUUUUAUAUAUCUAGCUUAAUGAGGAUCAACAUUUAUCCGCAUGGAGAUGAUUUGAAAGCUAAAGCAGAAGCAAGUAAAUGGUGGAUGGUAGAUCUUGGUGGCAGUGAUCCGAAAACUGUUGAUGGAAGAGCUAUCAUAGAAUAGGAUAAAUUUAUGUGUUCAAUUGUAAUUUUUUGUACUUGUGCAGUAAAUAGAACAAAGUUGAUAAUUUAAGAUUAUUGUACUAGUUUGGAUUGGUUUACAAAGUUAAAAUGAAUGUGUUUUUUAAUUUU